rnacentral:rRNA from 1 species
AUUGAACGCUAGCGGCAUGCCUAACACAUGCAAGUCGAACGGAGUGGCGGACGGGUGAGUAAUAUAUUGGAACGUGCCUAAUGGCGGGGGAUAACUACUGGAAACGGUGGCUAAUACCGCAAACUGUUGGGUCGGCCGAUAUGGGAUUAGCUAGUUGGUGGGGGAAAGGCUCACCAAGGCAACGAUCCAUAGCUGGUCUGAGAGGAAGACCAGCCACACGGGGACUGAGACACGGCCCAGACUCCUACGGUAGGCAGCAGUGGGGAAUAUUGGACAAUGGGCGAAACCCUGAUCCAGCAAUGCCGCGUGUAUGAUGAAGGCCUUCGGGUUGUAAAGUACUUUUGGCAGAGAAGCGGUAUCUGCAGAAUAAGCACCGGCUAACUACGUGCCAGCAGCCGCGGUAAUAC